UGACCUCAAAUCAGGUAGGAGUACCCGCUG
rnacentral:ncRNA from 5 species